GAUGAACGCUAGCUACAGGCUUAACACAUGCAAGUCGAGCGGAAACGGCAUUAAGUGCUUGCACUUUUUGGACGUCGACCGGCGCACGGGUGAUUAACGCGUAUCCAACGUUCCCGUGACUAAGGGAUAAACUGCCGAAAGGCAGACUAAUACCUUAUGGUCUUCACUGACGGCAUCAGAUGGGAAGUACAGUUGUAUCGGGUAUGGAUGGGGAUGCGUCUGAUUAGCUUGUUGGCGGGGUCACGGCCUACCAAGGCAACGAUCAGUAAGGGUUCUGAGAGGAAGGUCCCCCACAUUGGAACCGAGACACGUUCCAAACUCCUACGGGCGGCAGCAGUGAGGAAGCUAGGUCAAUGGGCGAGAGCCUGAACCAGCCAAGUAGCGUGCAGCAUGACCGCGCUAUGGGUGGUAACCUGCUUUUGUAUGGGGAUAAAGUCAAUCACGUGUGAUUGUUUGCAGGUACCAUACGAAUAAGGACCGGCUAAUUCCGUG
rnacentral:rRNA from 1 species